GAAGAGCGAGGGAUACGAGAGAGGACUGCAUUGCCUUCACGUCGUGCAUCCUGCUGGGACAUGACGGAGCAUCUCAGAAGACGCUAUUUAAUUAAAACACCAUCGACCGGAAUUUCUGGAAAAACAUCAGAGGUCCUUGACCCUCAUCUGAAUACCGGAGCGUUUUGCUGACGGCAGUGCCCAGAGAAAAAUGUAAAGCAUCGGUGCAUGAAUAUCCCUCGAAUUUCACAUUGUACGUUAGGUCGCACGACGCACACUGGCUGCUUUGUUGAUCAGUUGCAAAAAUUACCCCGUCUGGUGACUACGAACCAGGUCGUGUGGCCAAUACUGAACCAAGAGCGUGCACGAGAGCUGGUUGGAAGUGGCUUUUGAAUCCAGCUUUCUUUGAGGAUGAAGAUGGGAAAGAGCUCCAGAAGCAGGAGCCUUGGUGGUAAUCACCAUCCGCAGCUGCCUCAUGUGGGUCAGAGCCUAUUGAAAGGAGCCAAAUCACCCAAAGUCAAAACCUCAUCUAGAUCCAUGCCUAGAAGCAUAUUGUCGUUUCUGCCUUGAUUUUGAGAGAUAUCCAGGCUACCUCAGGGGGCUGCAAUCCUCGUUUCUCUCCAAUCUCAGCCGAAUCUGGGACGUAACUAGCCUGAAUAUACAGAUGUGCUCCAGCUGGAUCCAGCUUAGACCUUUUGGGCAGGGACGAUGGAUUUAUCAUGUCGAUUUCCCUGUCCAGCCCAGCCAGCCUUCAUCUCUCACCACAAGUAAUUAGCGGUGGUAAUAAGAGCCUGCAGUCAGUUGCUAAGCAGUACUUGUGGCUGCUGAUCUUCCUCGGGUGGAUGGCACGAAUCCUUGGGAUCCGACGACCUUUACUUGUUCUCUGUGCUCCUGCUUGUAAUUCUCCUUUUAAUGCUGUACAAUACCAAUAGCCCAAGUUUAUCCAUAUUGUCGAACAGACGGACACUCUAUUAUUAGAUUUGUUCUUGCAGACACCUAGCUAUACUGGCUGAAUGUAAUUUAUAGCCUCUAAAAUCUGCGGACACAGAUUUCUGCCUCCUUCAGUGUCUGGUCAUUUCUAUUCAUUUCAUCUCUGGAAUCUAAUGUAAUAAAAUUGUAAAAAGGCUCUAACUCCUCAGCAUUUAAUCAGCUUAGUAUGAGAGAAUUACAUCAGCAGCCCUUAGGUGUACUUUAUCCUGCAAAGGAAAUCUCACAUUAGGAGACAAUCUCAUUAUUUUGACUACUAAGGAUUGCAUGAAUUUCUUAAGAGCCACCAAGAACAUGGAAGAGUUUAGGUGGGCUAUGACUUUA